AUGUUUGGAGAAGCCACAGGUCUGAAGAUAAAUCGUCAGAAAUCAACUGCAACUCCGAUCCGUUGUGAAGAAGUUGACAUCCAGCAGGUGCUGCAGAGUUUUGGGGGCACCGUGGCCAUGUUCCCAAUGAAAUACCUAGGGCUGCCACUCACACUCACCAGAACCAGGAUCGUGCACCUCCAGUUCGUCUUCGAUCGAAUCAGGGCAAGGCUGGCCAGAUGGAAAGGAAUGCUCAUGUCCAUCGCCGGCAGGCGGGUUCUAGUCAGAGCAGCUCUAAGUGCAAUUCCUACUUUUGCGCUCACCGUGCUUCGCAUCCCGAAGAAGUUUUUCAAAGAGAUCGACAAGGUGCGGUGA
rnacentral:rRNA from 1 species